AUGAAACCUGGCAACUCUUUAAGCCUCUUGCACUCUUUUAAGUCCAAGGAUCGAAGAGCACCAAGUUGUGCUAUGCUUUGAGGCAGAUGCUCAAAAUUGUUUCCGCUGAGAUUCAACUCUUUCAAAGAAGAUAAGGAUCCAAUGUCUUCCGGAAGUCCUCCAUCUAUUAAAUUGCAGUAACUGAGAUCCAGAUCUUCCAAUGAGCGUAACCCUUCAUUCACUUGAGGGAACACAAAGUACACUCCAUCUUCGAGGCUUACGCUAUAUCUUUGUUUUGCAAAACUCAUGAAUUUAAGCUUGUUCAAGCAAACGACGGAAGACGGAGGUCGUGAAAUUAGAGUCCCUGUGGCAUCAAGCUUCUCCAAGUUUACUAAAUCUCCUAGAUCUUCUGGCAAGCUUUCAAGUUUAUAGCAAUUCGACACAUCUAGAAUAACCAAACCUUUCAACAUGCCCAUGCUGCUCGGAAGAGAUACAAGGCUUUCUAAGUGUCUCAGAGUUAGCCACUGAACAAUAUAUGAUGGUAGUUCCCUCAUCUCAGAGUCCCACAUCUUAAUCUCUAAGCUCGGCUUCGUUCUUCCGCGGAUUUCUGGAAAUUUCUCUAAACGAGAGCAAAACUUUAGAUCCA
rnacentral:misc_RNA from 1 species